AUUGAACGCUGGCGGCGGGCCUAACACAUGCAAGUCGAGCGAGCGGCGGACGGGUGAGUAAUGUCUGGGAAACCGCCUGUUGGAGGGGGAUAACUACUGGAAAAGGUAGCUAAUACCGCAUACCAUCAGAUUUGCCGAGAGGGGGUGAGCUAGUAGGUGGGGUAACGGCUCACCUAGGCGACGAUCCCUAGAUGGUCUGAGAGGAUGACCAGCCACACGGGAACUGAGACACGGUCCAGACUCCUACGGGAGGCAGCAGUGGGGAAUAUUGCACAAUGGGCGAAAGCCUGAUGGAGCAAUGCCGCGUGGGUGAAGAAGGCCUUCGGGUUGUAAAGCACUUUCAGCAGAGAGGCGGUACCCGCAGAAGAAGCACCGGCUAACUCCGUGCCAGCAGCCGCGGUAAUAC
rnacentral:rRNA from 1 species